AGGCAAGCCAGGUGACAGAGCUGUUGCAGACGCUGAUUACUGUGAGCCAGAGCCAUAGUGUUGUUUUGCACUGAACAGAACGGAAUUGGCCAGGUGAACCUUUUUGGGUAUGAAAAAGGAUGGCGAGCCAAUGAACGGCUAGGAGCAGGACUCAUUCUGCAUUGAAGCUUCCACUGGUUGGGUAGGAAGCUAUCAAAGACGACGCUCUGUCCCCAUUUUCCAAAUACACUAAUUUCCACAAUCAUACACACCAUUCCCCCCGUUUAUGGACAAUAGCGCUUGGACAUCUCUCAUGGACAUUCAGAUAAAACUCAUGGACUUCAGUGUGGAUCAGUGGUUUUGAUGUUAACAUGUGUUAUUUAUGGGGAACUGUUUUUUGAGAAUCUAUAUUGCUUGGUAUAAGCCAGAAGAAUUUGCUUAGUUGUCUUUGUGCACCCCCAUUGGGUUUUUGAUUAAUUGAAUAGCUGCAGCAGGAGUGAUUAUUUAAGCUUUUCUUUUCUUAUUUUUCUUUGGGUUUUGGUUAAAU
ensembl:lncRNA